GAUGAAGAACGUAGCGAAAUGCGAUAAGUAAUGUGAAUUGCAGAAUUCAGUGAAUCAUCGAAUCUUUGAACGCACAUUGCGCCCCCUGGUAUUCCGGGGGGCAUGCCUGUUCGAGCGUCAUUACAACCCUCAAGCUCUGCUUGGUAUUGGGCCCCGCCAGUUCUGGCGGGCCCUAAAGUCAGUGGCGGUGCCUUCCGGCUCCGAGCGUAGUAAUUCUUCUCGCUCUGGAGACCCGGUUGUGUGCUUGCCAACAACCCCCAAUUUUUUAAGGUUGACCUCGGAUCAGGUAGGGAUACCCGCUGAACUUAAGCAUAUCAAUAAGUGGAGGA
rnacentral:misc_RNA from 1 species